rnacentral:rRNA from 1 species
UCCAGACUCCUACGGGAGGCAGCAGUGGGGGAUAUUGCACAAUGGAGGGAACUCUGAUGCAGCGACGCCGCGUGAGGGAAGAAGGUUUUCGGAUUGUAAACCUCUGUCUUCGGUGACGAAACGAGACGGUAGCCGAGGAGGAAGCCACGGCUAACUACGUGCCAGCAGCCGCGGUAAUACGUAGGUGGCGAGCGUUGUCCGGAAUUACUGGGUGUAAAGGGAGCGUAGGCGGGAAAGCAAGUUGAAUGUUUAAGGUACGGGCUCAACCUGUACAAGCGUUCAAAACUGUUUUUCUUGAGUGGAGUAGAGGUAAGCGGAAUUCCUAGUGUAGCGGUGAAAUGCGUAGAUAUUAGGAGGAACACCAGUGGCGAAGGCGGUCUGCUGGACAGCAACUGACGUUGAGGCCCGAAAGCGUGGGGAGCAAACAGGAUUAGAUACCCCUGUA